rnacentral:rRNA from 1 species
AGGAUGAACGCUGGCGGUCUGCUUAACACAUGCAAGUCGAACGGAGUAGCAAUACUUAGUGGCGGACGGGUGAGUAACGCGUGAGAAUCUACCUUCAGGACGGAGACAACAGUUGGAAACGACUGCUAACCCCCGAUGUACUGAAAAGGCAAAUAUUUAUAGCCUGAAGAAGAGCUCGCGUCCGAUUAGCUAGUUGGAGAGGUAAAAGCUCACCAAGGCGACGAUCGGUAGCUGGUCUGAGAGGACGAUCAGCCACACUGGGACUGAGACACGGCCCAGACUCCUACGGGAGGCAGCAGUGGGAAUUUUCCGCAAUGGGCGAAAGCCUGACGGAGCAAGACCGCGUGGGGAAGAAGGCUCUUGGGUUGUAAACUCCUUUUCGGGGGAUGAUAAUGACAGUACCCGGGAAUAAGGCUCGGCUAACUCUGCGCCAGCAGCCGC